rnacentral:rRNA from 1 species
UGGGGAAUAUUGCACAAUGGGCGCAAGCCUGAUGCAGCCAUGCCGCGUGUGUGAAGAAGGCCUUCGGGUUGUAAAGCACUUUCAGCGAGGAGGAAGGUGGUGAACUUAAUACGUUCAUCAAUUGACGUUACUCGCAGAAGAAGCACCGGCUAACUCCGUGCCAGCAGCCGCGGUAAUACGGAGGGUGCAAGCGUUAAUCGGAAUUACUGGGCGUAAAGCGCACGCAGGCGGUUUGUUAAGUCAGAUGUGAAAUCCCCGGGCUCAACCUGGGAACUGCAUUUGAAACUGGCAAGCUAGAGUCUCGUAGAGGGGGGUAGAAUUCCAGGUGUAGCGGUGAAAUGCGUAGAGAUCUGGAGGAAUACCGGUGGCGAAGGCGGCCCCCUGGACGAAGACCGACGCUCAGGUGCGAAAGCGUGGGGAGCAAAUAGGAUUAGAUACCCUGGUAGUCCACGCUGUAAAACGAUGUCGAUUUUGGAGGUUGUGCCCUUGAGGCGUGGCUUCCGGAGCUAACGCGUUAAAUCGACCGCCUGGGGAGUACGGCC